AUUAGCUUUCUCUUGCUUUUCCCUCGGGUGAUGGGUGCGAGGCAGACCCGUGGCUGCUCUCCUGCAGUGGGAGCUGCCCCCAGCCCCACACUGGAGCAUCCUAGCUGUGUCCCUCGCUUGGAUGCAUGGCCAUCCAUCUGUCUCGGGUGCCAUGGGCAUGUCCUACACAAGUUCUAAACAUCUCCGCGGGGUUCCACCAACCGCUGCAGGAGCUGAACGUUAGGAGAUGGGGAAAAACACCCCCUGAGCAUGGGAGAAGGAAGGAAGAAGGAGGAUGGAAGGGGACACAAAGGGAAGGAGCAUUGCAAGGGAAGGCUGGGAGCUGGCCGGGAUUUUGGCCAUCCAUUUGGCCCAGGGUAGGGUGCGUGCUCCACUAGGGUGUCUCCCAGCAGCGGUUGGGUAAACACGGUACAGAGCUGCUCCCUGUGUAUAGCAGAGUCACAGCUGCUGACUGCAGCGACUAAAAUAAGCGUUUCCCUGCUUUUUAUUCCUCUGAGCCCGGCAGAGCCCACUCAGCCCCAGGAGCGGAGCUGGAGUCUAUUCUUAGCCCUGCAGAGCCUCGCAGAGCUGGGAGGGGGAGGGAGUCUCUGCACGGAGCGGGGACCACCGUUUCAACACCAUCCUAUCCCCAGAGCCUGGCCUGGCCCCAGGGAGGCACUGAGGUCCAUAGGGUGUUGAUGUUUGGCCGAGGAGGAUUUGGGAAGCAAGCAGGAGCGGGGAUACCCCAGCACAACUCUCAGCAUCGCUGCAGGAUUCGGCAUCCCCAAGAAGCGGCUGCAAUGCAGGCGGCUUUCAGAGGGUGCUCGUGCAAAGCUGCUUUUCUUCCCACUGAAAUGGGCACGGAGGGAAUCAGAGGAGCUCAGCCCACAGCUGCCUUUGCCCCCAGGAAGGGAGAUUUAAGGGGAGUUUUGCACAGCCCUCUCUGAGAGUCACCCCUCUGCCCAGACGCAGCCAUGAGAUGUUUUUGUCCAUCCCGACCCUCCCCAGUGAUUUCAACGUGUGCUGCAGCCCAUGGCACCUGGGGGACCACUGCCAGCAUCGUGUCAUCCCCCAGCAUCACACCUACAUCACCCCGGGCAUCGUGCUCUGAAACGUGGGGUGAUGCGGGAUGACUCCGUGGACACGAUGCACACAGCUGGUCACACACGCUCCAACCAUCAUCCAUGGGGACAACCCCGGGGACAGGAGCAGGGAUGGGGACAAGGCAGGGAUGGGGACAAGGCAGGGAUGCAGGCAGUGCUGGAGGAGAAGAAGCCCCAGCUCCAUAGCAACAGGUACUCGCCGCGUAAUGGAGUCCUUUCCGCUCGGCCUCCGCAGCCGCCAGCCUUAUUCGCAUGGCCAUAAAUAAUUCAAUUUUCUCAUUCACACACAUGAAUGCUGCGGGCCGGGGCUCCGGGUGCACUCAGCCUCCAUCUGUCUGGGGGGGAAGGGGGAGGCAGGGCUCGAUAAUAGACUCCGGCGUUUGUUUAACAUGGAUGAGUGUGGGCAGAUGGCCUGGGGCUGGGGAGGAGGUGGGGGAUGCUCCGUGGCAUCCCCGAAGUCCCCAGGUUUAGCCCAGUCCCUUGUGCUAGGUGGGGAGGAGAAGAGAGCAGGGACAAGAUCUGGUGCAUCCAAAUCAGCAUCGCUAUUAGAGACAAGCAUGUUUUGGCUGGGAGGGGGCUACGUGCGUUUGGAUUGCCUUUGGAGCAUCCCACCGGGAAAACGUCCUAAGGGUCUGAACUGAAGGAUCUACAUCAGGGUCAGCCCUAUCCCUGGUGGUUUGGGUGCAGGAGCUGCUCCCGACAUGAGAUAUUGUGUCUGGAGAUGGCGUUGGCCAUGCAAUGGGAGAUGUUCUGUGCCACAGCUGCUGUUCCGCACCGUGUCCUGCUCUUUGGGCGGGCAGCCUCAACCCCUGCCUUGGGCACAGAGUAACAGCCCUGGAGAAGGAGAGCAGCCCAGCAAUGAGCGAGCUCCAUACCACCCUCUCCCAGGGAGCGUGGGGAGGCCUGACGAGAGAAAACAAUAUCAUUAGUGGGGUUAAUAGGCUACACACCUGCUGUGGGGGGCUGAGAUGUGAGGGACAGUCAUCACUGCCAUCGCCAUCUCUGCAGGUUUAGCAUCAGCUGGCACAAUGCGUGCCAUAAAAACGUGGGUUAAGAGAUGAGACCAUGCAACAACAUCACUAUCGGCCACCCACACUCUGGGGUCCCUCCGCAGGAGUGGUGUCUGCAGGAGGAGGUGGUGGGAUGGAAGUGGCUGACGCGUGGAUGUGCUGAGUGCUGCCACGUAUUUGGGUACAGCACGUGUGUACGGAUGUGUAUUUGGGUGUGCUCACACACAGACACAAAUUCUCUUUGGGUUGCACUUGGAAUGGGCUCUUGCAGAUAGCAGCAAUCCUGGCCAGCCUGCGCUCCACCACUUUCCCUGCCUGUUGUGUUGCGUUUCCCCUUCUUGCUCCGUAUAUCCAUCUAGGCUGACCACGGUUCUUUUCAGCUCAACUCCAGCCUGCUGCACAGUUCAGAUUAUGUCCACACAGCACAUGCCCCACGCAUGAUCCCGAGUCUCCCUCAGGCACCCCAGCGCCAUAGGGUGAUCAGCCAGGCAGGCCAGUGCCCCCUCCGUGCUGUACGGUACACUGGAAGGGCGGGCAUGGGCUGCUCCAUCGUGCCACCCCCUUCCUCUUAUGCAUGGGGGUUCCCCAGGGGUCUUGCCCUUCCCUGCACGGUGCAGCUGUGCACCCCGCUGUGGGAUGGCCAGAUGUGCAAACACCAUGGUGCCUUGCCUUGGGGUUGCUGCUCAGUUUCUAUCUACCCAACGAUUGGUAUUGUCUCUUCCACUCCAAACCCAGGCCCAGCCCAAGCUCUCACUAUCUUCUACCAUCGCUUUUCUGUAUCCCAGGACGCAGGGAGCCAGCUUCUCUCUGCUGGGCUCGUCCUUGGCUGGACAAUGGAUUUGGCCCUGUUUCUCAAGACCAAACUGCAGAAUCUCGUGGUCUUGGGAUGCCUUGUUCCCAUUACGAGGCUGCUGCCUCUUUGGUGGUGGGGUCCAACGCAGCCCCCGUGGACUUGGGAUGUGGGGACCUGCACAAGCCCUCGAUGGGAGCUGCUGAGGAGCAGGACCAUCUGCAUGGCCCCCACUGGGUUACAUCCUGUGGGAAAGGAUGAACCCUUCCUCUCCCUGGGAGUAGACACGCCGAUCUCCAUGCACACAUCUCCAUUCUGAGCUGCUCCCAGACCCUUUUCCUACCCCAUUCCCUGCCUGCACAUCCAAGUGACACCAAAAUCUGCAGCCAGAAUGAUGGCACUUACCUGCUGCUCACCCUGUUGGGGCUGGGAGGACAGUGGGACAGACACUGGGGGCUGGUCCUUGCCCCCAGGUGAUGGGCAGCCCCUCUCUCCCUGCUCCUUUGCCACACACCGUGGCUCCUGCAGCACCCAGCACCACCCAGCAGCACCCUCUCCGGGUACAUGGCAUCGAAUGGGAUGUACUGGGGAUGAGGAGAUGCCACGCUGGAGACACCCAGUUCCCACACGAGGCUGGCAUACAAGGAAGAUGGGUGCCUAGACGAGGGGAUGGGAGAUGAAUUCAAUGGUGCUCUGGGAAAGUCGGAGUGGAGGUGAUGGGAUCCUGUUGAGCCCAGUGCUGCCCAAAGCAGCAGCAUCCCAGCGCUCGGUGCCAGCAGGGCUCUGCCCCCCACAGUGGGAACCCGUUGUCCCAGGGGUUGCCACGUCUUCUGGAAUCAUCCCCAUUCCCUCCCCAGAGGCAGCACAGCAUCCCCAGGUCUGGAUCGCAGCAGGUGCCCGGCGCCGGGUGUCCCCACAACCUCCCCUUGGUGGCACGGAGCGAUCCCUUUGUCAGAGCCGGGGCUGAAGGGAGUGGAUGCAGAGAGGCAGGAGGGACUGUGGGGCCACGGAGCGCAGCCUUACCUUGGGGGAUCCGCUGCGGUGGUGGGAGGCCCGGGGCAGAAUUAGAUACUGAGUUCGAUCUUAUUUUCUUUCUCGGAAAAAAAUGAGAGACGUUGCAGUGGGAGUCCUCAUCUCAGGGCGGACUCCUUGGCUGCAUCCUCACCCCAGCUGCGUCCCCAGCCGAAGCUUGCUGCUCCUUGGGGCACACGGGAUGCUUUGCCCCAGGGAAAGCCCCACAGAGGCCGUUCCUUUCCGAGGGUAAGGAAAACACCACUGGAGGUUUGUCCUGGAAGAACCCCCCGGAUCCAAUCCACAGAGCAACACCUCCAGAAGGGAUUUCCCUGCGGUUCCCAAAGCACCCAGCGCCGCUCCUACCGCAUGUGGGUGCCUUCAGCUGUGCGCAUUUGGAAGGAGCACCUUAGGAGAGGGCACAGCCUCGAGCAGGGCUACCUGCACCAACCUUGUUCUCUGCAAAGCCCGGGGAAGGUUUGUUUUUCUCUCCUCCAUCAGCGCAGCGUGGAUGGAGCCAUGAGAGGGGACAGCGAUGUGAAGGACCCGGAGGGGGUUUUCUUUCCCUGAGAGCCUCUGUGUGAGGGGACGGCCGGGGCUGUGGGGUGAUGCAGGGCAGGAGCAGUGCAUCCUUCCUUUCCUCCUUCAGUGCUCAGCCCCACUCAUCCCACAGCACUUGGUGCACAGCAGCAGAAGGCUCCUUGCUUCAGUAAACCACCCAAAACAUCCCAAAUGAGCUCUGCUUAUUGUUUUUUAAGCCCCCAUGCUAGCUAUGGGGAUGGAUGGGAAAUAACCUGCGCGGCACUGGGGCUCAUCCCGAGGGAGCUGUGAUGAGGACAUAGGCA
ensembl:lncRNA